ACGCUCGACACCUACGGGAGCAGCAGUGGGGAAUAUUGCACAAUGGGGGAAACCCUGAUGCAGCGACGCCGCGUGAAGGAAGAAGUAUUUCGGUAUGUAAACUUCUAUCAGCAGGGAAGAAGAUGACGGUACCUGACUAAGAAGCCCCGGCUAACUACGUGCUAGCAGCCGCGGUAAUCUGAGCGGGCUGGCAAGGC
rnacentral:rRNA from 1 species